AACUCCGCCUACAUGUCACUGUGUUUGCACUACUUCCUGUACAUACACCCCAAGGGGUGUGUUUUUCUCAAUCAAUGUUACAACUGGAGUGGAAAUCUCAUGCCGCCCCCUCAGCAGAAGCCGUUUCACUUGCUGGAGGACUGGAUGGGCGUGUACAGGGCUGAUAGAUGAUCAAGAACGAAGUGAUUGGUGGAGAAGACAGUCAGGAGCCCAUUGGCUGAACUCCUCACACUAGCCACAUCAGUUCUUAACUUGUAAAUAUGGGCAGUUCUUUAAAGAGAGUGCCUAGUGCUAGGCUGGACCCACAGAGCUAGGCCUCAUCCAGGCCUCACUAAAUUAGGAGAGAUGGUACAACAGUACUGGGAAUCAGGGGCCUGGGUCCAGCUCUGUCAUAGACUGGCCUUGUGGCCUUUGGCAAAAUACUUUGCCUGCACAAUGUCUUACUCAUGAAUUACUUACACUGAAAAUAAAGUAAUUUUACAUGCACCCA
rnacentral:lncRNA from 1 species